AGGGGCAAUGCCUCAGAAGACAGAGAAGCGGGCUGACAGCAAGGGUGAAAAGGAAGGGCCUGACCGGAGCAGAUGGACAUUCGUAAGAAGUAGGAUAAGCCGUGGUGAAGCAUAGCCGAGGAUUGAACCCAUGCUUCUGCAGCUACGCGAGCUGCUGCAGUUGGAUCAGCUGGAUUCUUCACCCUCCGCAUCACCGUGGAAACACCCAAACUUGAAUUCUUUACUGACCACAUACGCCCAACUGCAGGAAUGCGGCCCCAGGAGGGGCCGGAAUCACCACGGGGGGGAGGGCCAAGAGGACGGUGGAGGGACACAGAGGACUCCCCAUGGAAAGGGACACUGGACAGGCGCCCGGAGGACACCUCUGUCAACUUCAGAUUAAACUGGGCAUCAGAGAAAAAGAGAAAACUCACCCAGGCUUUGAAAAAACCAAAAGUAGUAGCCCAUCAAAAUCAGGAAAAAACCCUCCAGAAUCACGAAGGCCAGCGGAGGACACGGAGAACGUCUUACAAGACAGAGACUACCUGUGAAAGGGGAAACGGCACUUCACACCUUCACUGCUCUGGUGUCUAAUCUGAGAGGCACUUGCACCUUCGCCCUUCUUGGCCCCUGACGUGCGACGCAGGAUCUGCACCCACCCAAGCGCUGAUCAGCUGGCCCCUGCGGCUCAGAGCAGCCUGAGAGCUGCUCCUCCCAGAAAACCAGCCAGCAGGCAGGGCAGGAGGGGCCGAGGCUGGGGGGGGGUGGUGUUUAUCAUUCAGAGAGAUACGGAUUCCCCCGGGUCAGGUUGGAGAGUGCCCUGGCAGCGGGGUGUGGGAAUGGGGGCCAGGGGAGCCGUGAUUUCUCAUGCAUGCCACCCGCUUGGGAUAUCAGAGAGCGGGUGGCGAAAGAGCAGUGUGGUAGGUGACAGCCAAUGUGAAAACAAGAGCUGGGCUGGGAGAUGCGUGCAUCACUGAACCUCCAGGUGAGUAACUGUGAAGGGGAUGCAACUGCCUCCAAGAGCCCAGGGGGCCAAAGCCAGGGACAGAUGGUCUCUACUCUGUUGGUAUAAAGCAGGGUCUACAGAGAUCCUGCUUUGCUAAAAAUGAGUAAAAUGAAGUUCCCUGGUGGCUCAGCGGGUUAAGGACAUGGUGUGGUCACUGCUGUGGUGGGGGUUCCAUCCCUGGCCACGGAACCUCCUCG
rnacentral:lncRNA from 1 species